rnacentral:lncRNA from 1 species
CUUUCAUGAAAUGUAUCUACAGUAGUUUGUUUAAGACAAGUAUCAUCUAGCUCUAAAUCCCUUUCUGAUGAUUUAAGGUACAAAAGAUCAAGAACAGGAUUUAAGCUCUCCUUGCUUGCUGGCUUUUGGGUAAAUGUAUACUUCGAUUUACCUCUGGUUCUUCCUACCUUUUUUUUAUACACCGACAUUAUUCUUGCAGAUAUUCUUUUCUUCUUUCUGAAUUUUCCAGAGACCCAGAUAAGCCCAAGAACACUGACAAAAAAGGCAGCUCCUGCUGACACAAGCACUCCUGCUAAAAUUCUUCUAAAUCUGCUUUUUUCUCUGUGCGUUUUUAGAAUUUUGGGCGCAGGAAGGAUUGAAUUUGAGUGAUGAAAAGGGGAAUGAGAAUGUGCUUGGAUAGGCAACACUGAAGCAGUAGCAGGGGCAGGAGCUGGAGCCUCAGCUUCUAUGGAGGUUGAAGGAGAUGAUGCUGGUGACUGAAACUCACUUGGUGGGUUUCCUGUUUUGGAGCCUGUCAACCCUAGUAAGGCUCUGAAUUUUUGCACUAUCAAGCUCGCAUAUUCUUCAUUCUCGUCCUCUCCUGAAACUUUCUCAAUCUGCUUCUCAUUACCAUCUUCACCACUUUCCUCCAUGAAUUCAAGCUCUUGUGGGCUCUGAAGUUUAAAGCACUCUGCUGCAUCAAAUGCGGACGCAUCAGCAAUCAAAAUGUGGGUUCUUUGCAAUGACAAAAAGAUGAAAAUGGAUACAGUAAGGACGAGCAUCAUGUGGCGAAUCUGAGAAGAAUAAGAG